AGACACCUCGAGAGGUUAUAUACAAAGUGUUGGAUUAAUUAGAGGUUGAUGGUACCCAAUACUGGUAUGUAAUGCUGCUGAUGUAUUUCUCCAAUACCUUGCACUAUUUUCUUCAAAGUUUACGCUGGCCUUCAUCUUUCAGCGAUGUAUCACUGAUUUACAUCGUUGUUUGGGGAUUGGGAUAGUUCUUCUUGCGAUCAUUUUGGACCCUCUCUCAGGGCAUAAGCAGACUUCCCAUUUCUCGGUUCAGAUCUCUUUCUUUAAUUUGUUUUUAUGCAAGGAGCCAAGGAGUAUGAUUGUGAUGUUAGUAUUAUCAAGUGUGCAGAUGCUUGCUGCUGUCCAUCUUUCAGAACUUCAGGUAGCACAAGAUGAUCCACUAAAUUGCAAGAAGUUGAGGUCAAUAUUAUCUUUUUAUGUUGGUUCUUACCUUAAUGAUAGUGAUUGAUCUGUAUACAUCUACCAACUUUUAUAAUCUUUAGUUAGGGAUGAAAAUUUCAGGCUCUUAUACUUUCAAAUCAUGUUUUCAGAUACCCUCCAGCAACGAACGUGGUAUGCGACUUAAAGGCUGCCAUCCACUUGAAGUAUGACAUGGUUUAAUGGUAUGUUUUUGCAGUAACUGUAAUUGCCUUUUAUUAUUGCUAAAAUAGUUACUAUUAUAUCUGAGGCUCUGAGAACCACCUGCCUUGCUGGGUUGUAAUCUACUACAGUUUGUUAGAUUGAAGUAGUGUUGGUUUCUAACGCUUGAGUCGAUUACCAAAUGCAUUUCUUAUAUUACUGCAUUAUUUUACCACUGCAUCAUACACAUUUCAAAUAUAAGGCUUAGUGGCUCCAAACAUAACUUAAUUGUGCUCAUGUUGUUCAUCAUAUGUAAAAAGGGA
rnacentral:lncRNA from 1 species